rnacentral:rRNA from 1 species
UACGUAGGGUGCAAGCGUUGUCCGGAAUUACUGGGUUUAAAGGGUGCGUAGGUGGGUAGGAAAGUCAGUGGUGAAAUCUUCGGGCUUAACCCGGAAACUGCCAUUGAUACUAUUUAUCUUGAAUACUUUGGAGGUAAGCGGAAUAUGUCAUGUAGCGGUGAAAUGCUUAGAUAUGACAUAGAACACCAAUUGCGAAGGCAGCUUACUACACAGUUAUUGACACUGAGGCACGAAAGCGUGGGGAUCAAACAGG